CCUACGGGUGGCUGCAGUGGGAAUAUUGCACAAUGGGCGCAAGCCUGAUGCAGCCAUGCCGCGUGUGUGCAGAAGGCCUUCGGGUUGUAAAGCACUUUCAGCGGGGAGGAAGGCGGUGAGGUUAAUAACCUCAUCGAUUGACGUUACCCGCAGAAGAAGCACCGGCUAACUCCGUGCCAGCAGCCGCGGUAAUACGGAGGGUGCAAGCGUUAAUCGGAAUUACUGGGCGUAAAGCGCACGCAGGCGGUCUGUCAAGUCGGAUGUGAAAUCCCCGGGCUCAACCUGGGAACUGCAUUCGAAACUGGCAGGCUAGAGUCUUGUAGAGGGGGGUAGAAUUCCAGGUGUAGCGGUGAAAUGCGUAGAGAUCUGGAGGAAUACCGGUGGCGAAGGCGGCCCCCUGGACAAAGACUGACGCUCAGGUGCGAAAGCGUGGGGAGCAAACAGGAUUAGAUACCCUUGUAGUC
rnacentral:rRNA from 1 species